AGCAUAUCAAUAAGCGGAGGAAAAGAAACCAACAGGGAUUGCCUCAGUAACGGCGAGUGAAGCGGCAAGAGCUCAAAUUUGAAAUCUGGCCCCUCCGGGGUCCGAGUUGUAAUUUGCAGAGGAUGCUUCGGAUACGGCCCCCGUCUAAGUGCCCUGGAACGGGCCGUCGGAGAGGGUGAGAAUCCCGUCUGGGACGGGGUGUCCGUGUCCGUGUGAAGCUCCUUCGACGAGUCGAGUUGUUUGGGAAUGCAGCUCUAAAUGGGUGGAAAAUUUCAUCUAAAGCUAAAUAUUGGCCGGAGACCGAUAGCGCACAAGUAGAGCGAUCGAAAGAUGAAAAGCACUUUGAAAAGAGAGUUAAACAGCACGUGAAAUUGUUGAAAGGGAAGCGCUUGCGACCAGACUCGCCGACGGGGUUCAGCCGGGAUUCGUCCCGGUGUACUUCCCCGCCGGCGGGCCAGCGUCGGUUUGGGCGGCCGGUCAAAGGCCUCCGGAAUGUAUCGCCCUCCGGGGCGUCUUAUAGCCGGAGGUGCAAUGCGGCCUGCCCGGACCGAGGAACGCGCUUCGGCACGGACGCUGGUAUAAUGGUCGUAAGCGACC
rnacentral:rRNA from 1 species